rnacentral:ribozyme from 1 species
UGCCCAGCAACUCCUAUCCCUACCUCCACGCGGUACCGGCCGGAAACUAUGAGCAACCUUAGGGAAGAUCGGGUAACCAACCCCGGUGGGAACUUUGCUGACAGGGAAGG